UACGGAGGAUGCGAGCGUUAUCCGGAUUUAUUGGGUUUAAAGGGUGCGUAGGCGGGCUUUUAAGUCAGCGGUAAAAAUGCGGCGCUCAACGCCGUCGAGCCGUUGAAACUGGGAGCCUUGAGUGGGCGAGAAGUAUGCGGAAUGCGUGGUGUAGCGGUGAAAUGCAUAGAUAUCACGCAGAACUCCGAUUGCGAAGGCAGCAUACCGGCGCCCGACUGACGCUGAGGCACGAAAGCGUGGGUAUCGAA
rnacentral:rRNA from 1 species